CCAUCAUUCAGUUGGGCACUCUAGCGAGACUGCCGGUAAUAAACCGGAGGAAGUGGGAUGACGUCAAUCAUCAUGCCCUUAUGACCUGGGCUACACACGUGCUACAAUGGUUGGUACAACGAGUUGCGAGUCGGUGACGGCGAGCUAAUCUCUUAAAGACCAAUCUCAGUUCGGAUUGUAGGCUGCAACUCGCCUACAUGAAGUCGGAAUCGCUAGUAAUCGCGGAUCAGCACGCCGCGGUGAAUACGUUCCCGGGCCUU
rnacentral:rRNA from 1 species